GGACUCCAUUAAAAUGAGAUUUGGAGGGAAACGUGUUUUGAAAUAGUAAUUUUCUUAGAGAAUGUGUGGUUAAAAAAUAAGAAAUGUUCUGAGUUUACGUGUAACAUUAUUUUAUAGGAGGAAUGUGUGGUUGAAAAUGAGUUUUGAAAAAAUAAAUCCCAGAUAGGGGCUUUGUAAAUUUUGAUAAAAGUUGAUGAAAUUUGUGAUUGAAAAUUUGAUAAAAGUUGUUGGUCUUAUGAAAUGUGUGGUUUAAAAUAAUUUUUAGGAAAAAUGAGUAUUUAAGAAAAAUGGGGACCAAACAGGGGCUAAAUAAUUAAUUCUUCAUGAAACAAUGAAAACCUGCCCGAGGGGCAACCUCUUUUGGUUGGUUUUGGGGGUGAGUGGAGAUUAAAGAUUGGGGAAUGGGGAGGAGGGCUUCUUGCUUUGAACGUAAUGGUACUAUGGACUUGCACUAGAUGGCAGGGGCGGAGCCAGGAUUUUAGUUCAGUGCGGGCAAAAAAAUUUUGACGACGAAUGUCGAGGUUUUGGUCGGGGAUUUAAUGACGAUAAAAAAAUAAAACAAUAGUACAUCAAUACUAAAAACGACAUAAUUUAUAUAUUACACUUGUUUUUUGCGAGUUUUCAUACUUUGAUAUCAUUGUAUAAUAACUUCAUUAUUGAACCUGAAAAAUAUAUCUUUCUCCACAUAAACAAUUGUGCUAUCAUUCAUUCACUGAUCACCCAAUUACUACUAGGAGUGGGAGUAAUUCGAGAUGUCAAAUGAAUCACAAAUACUGGAAGCAACUCAAAAAACUAGUGCAAUUCACAAUCUCACAAAAUCAAUUCACAAUCUCACAAUGCAAUAUAUACUAUUUCCAAAUACUUGGCAACUUGAACUUGCAAUCACAGAUUCCCAGAGAGCUAGAGCCCAGAGGCAACAAUGAACUGGUGGUCCACUGGAAGUUUGUGCCGUUUCGAGCAAUUAAAGAACAAAGUGCUAAUUUAAUAUGUUAAAAACAAAAAACAAAAAAAAAAUUAUUACAAUUUACACAAAUUGAAAUAACAAAAGAAAAAAUAAGGGAAAAAAAAUUUGGGGAUUCGCCUUUUGCUUUCUAGAAUCUGGCUUCUUAUUUUGUCGGCUCGACUGGUUGGCGUUGGCACUUGGUGCCUUGGCGGAGCUGAGGAUGUAAAGUCGGAGUUAAAGAUGUGAGAUGUCAAGAUGAGAGCCUAGAGUAGGAGAUAUACAAUAAUGAACUGUCGGAGAGGGAAAGGGAACGACCAAUGUACUGUGACGACUGUCGAAGACGACGGUUGACGGAGAGGGAAGGGAACAGCGGGCUUUGUUACCAGUGGAGAGGGAAGUGGGUGGCGAAGUGUGAAAUCGUCACAGACAAAGUCAUGAAGGGUAGAAAUUUUGAAAUAAAUGAAUGCGUUUGGGUCAACAAUUGAUUCAAUUGAAUUUUGAUAUGAAUGGGUCUAAAACGGGUCAUGACCUUGCACAAUUGGGCUUCUCUCUCUAUGCUAGAUCGAG
rnacentral:lncRNA from 1 species